GGAUGGAUGUCCGAGUGGUUUAUGGUACCGGUCUUGAAAACCGGUGUACGUUAAUCGCGUACCGUGGGUUCGAAUCCCUCUCCAUCCG
rnacentral:tRNA from 1 species